UCGUAACAAGGUUUCCGUAGGUGAACCUGCGGAAGGAUCAUUACCGAGUUAGGGUCUUUUAAAGGCUCGACCUCCAACCCUUUGUCUACUAUACCUCAUGUUGCUUCGGCGGGCCCGUCCUUAUGGACCGCCGGAGGGUUUAAAUCGCCCUCUGGCCCGUUGCCUGUCGAUAGCCCCCAAUUAAACUCUUGUUAAGAAUCGUGUCGUCUGAAGAAUACAAACAAAAAUAAAUAAAAACUUUCAACAACGGAUCUCUUGGUUCUGGCAUCGAUGAAGAACGCAGCGAAAUGCGAUAAGUAAUGCGAAUUGCAGAAUCCGUGAGUCAUCGAAUCUUUGAACGCACAUUGCGCCCUUUGGUAUUCCGAAGGGCAUGCCUGUUCGAGCGUCAUUAUCACCCCUCAAGCUCUGGCUUGGUGUUGGGCUCUCGGCGAGUUUUAAUAACCUGCCGGCCUCAAAGAUAGUGACGGCGCCCCAGAGGGACCCGGUACAAGGAGCUUUUCUAAGCAUGUAUACGGCAUGACUCUGCGGGUGACGGUCUACAACAAACCUUUUAUAUACAAGUGUUGACCUCGGAUCAGGUAGGAAUACCCGCUGAACUUAAGCAUAUCAAUAAGCGGAGGAAAAGAAACCAACAGGGAUUGCCUUAGUAACGGCGAGUGAAGCGGCAACAGCUCAAAUUUGAAAUCUGACUUCUUGGAGUCCGAGUUGUAAUUUGUAGAGGAUGUUUCGGGUACCGCAACGGCUUAAAUUUCUUGGAACAGAAUGUCAGAGAGGGUGAGAAUCCCGUCUGGAGUCGCGGUAGGGCCCAUGUGAAACUCCUUCGACGAGUCGAGUUGUUUGGGAAUGCAGCUCAAAAUGGGUGGUAAAUUUCAUCUAAAGCUAAAUAUUGGCCAGAGACCGAUAGCGCACAAGUAGAGUGAUCGAAAGAUGAAAAGCACUUUGAAAAGAGAGUUAAACAGUAUGUGAAAUUGUUGAAAGGGAAGCGCUGGCAAUCAGACUUGUGUACGGGGGUUCCCCCUUGCUUCUGCUUGGGUUACUCCCUCGUAUCCAGGCCAACAUCGGUUUGGGUGGUUGGUUAAAGGCCUUUGGAAUGUAUCUUCUCUCGGGAAGACUUAUAGCCUCGGGUGUCAUGCAGCCUACCCGGACCGAGGAACGCGCUUCGGCUCGGAUGUUGGCGUAAUGGUUGUCAGCGACC
rnacentral:rRNA from 1 species